rnacentral:rRNA from 1 species
UACGAAGGGGGCUAGCGUUGUUCGGAAUUACUGGGCGUAAAGCGCGCGCAGGCGGUCCUUUAAGUCGGGGGUGAAAGCCCAGAGCUCAACUCUGGAACUGCCUUCGAAACUAGAGGACUUGGGUACGGGAGAGGUGAGUGGAAUUCCGAGUGUAGAGGUGAAAUUCGUAGAUAUUCGGAAGAACACCAGUGGCGAAGGCGGCUCACUGGCCCGUUACCGACGCUCAGGCGCGAAAGCGUGGGGAGCGAACAGG